rnacentral:rRNA from 1 species
GACGAACGCUGGCGGCGUGCCUAACACAUGCAAGUCGAACGAGGCCACCCUUCGGGGUGAGUCGAGUGGCGGACGGGUGAGUAACACGUGAGCAACCUGUCCCUGUGCGGGGGACAACCGGGGGAAACUCCGGCUAAUACCGCAUGGGCCGGAGCUUCUAGUGGAGCGCCGGGGAAAGAUGGCCUCUUUACAAUGCUAUCGCGCAGGGAGGGGCUCGCGGGCUAUCAGCUAGUUGGUGGGGUAAUGGCCCACCAAGGCAGCGACGGCUACGGGGUCUGAGAGGACGACCCCGCACAUUGGAACUGAGACACGGUCCAGACUCCUACGGGAGGCAGCAGUGGGAAUAUUGGGCAAUGGGCGCAAGCCUGACCCAGCGACGCCGCGUGCGGGAGGACGCCCCCUCGGGUGUAAACCGCUGUCAGGAGGGACGAACGGCCGGGGUGGGAAUACUGCUCCGGAGUGACGGUACCUCCAAAGGAAGCGCCGGCUAACUCCGUGCCAGCAGCCGCGGUAAGACGGAGGGCGCAAGCGUUGUUCGGAAUCACUGGGCGUAAAGCGCGCGCAGGCGGGUGUGCAAGUCGGAAGUGAAAUCCCGGGGCUCAACUCCGGGGCUGCUUCCGAAACUGCGGACCUGGAGACCGGUAGAGGUGGGUAGAAUUCCCGGUGUAGCGGUGGAAUGCGUAGAGAUCGGGAAGAAUACCUGUGGCGAAGGCGGCCCACUGGGCCGGUUUCUGACGCUGAGGCGCGAAAAGGCGUGGGGGAGCAAAACAGGAUUAGAUACCCUGGUAG